GCACAAUUAGCAUGAAACACAUAUAUGUCACAGUAAAUAACACAAAAAAAUUUUAUCUAAGUCUCCUGCAAAGUCAAAAAAAUAAAAAAAUAAUCAAUAAGAAAAACUUAAAUUAAUCAGUAGGUUUAAAGUUUGCAAAGCAUAAAACAGCAAAUUCGGAAAGAAGAAGAACAAAUAGAAGGAAGAAGGAAAUCAAAGACUGAAAAAUCCCUCGUGAACCCCCUAAACAAUCCUAGCAAGGAUGAUUGAAGACCCAUGAUUGACGUCGAGAAGGUAGGAUUAAAAGAUCGGAACACGGCAUGGAAGCCACGUUGGGAUAUCGUACAAACCAGAGCCGUUGGCUACAAAUCCCCAAAAACCAAAAAGCCAAAUGUCACUGUGUACAGUACGAAUAAACAAGGUCAAUGAAAGAAAGGACGAGGUGGAUGGAGGAAAAGAAAGC
rnacentral:lncRNA from 1 species